rnacentral:rRNA from 1 species
AGUGAACGCUGGCGGUAGGCCUAACACAUGCAAGUCGAACGGCAGCACAGUAAGAGCUUGCUCUUACGGGUGGCGAGUGGCGGACGGGUGAGGAAUACAUCGGAAUCUACUUUUUCGUGGGGGAUAACGUAGGGAAACUUACGCUAAUACCGCAUACGACCUACGGGUGAAAUCAGGGGAUCUUCGGACCUUGCGCGAUUGAAUGAGCCGAUGUCGGAUUAGCUAGUUGGCGGGGUAAAGGCCCACCAAGGCGACGAUCCGUAGCUGGUCUGAGAGGAUGAUCAGCCACACUGGAACUGAGACACGGUCCAGACUCCUACGGGAGGCAGCAGUGGGGAAUAUUGGACGAUGGGCGCAAGCCUGAUCCAGCCAUACCGCGUGGGUGAAGAAGGCCUUCGGGUUGUAAAGCCCUUUUGUUGGGAAAGAAAAGCAGCAGGUUAAUACCCCGCUGUUCUGACGGUACCCAAAGAAUAAGCACCGGCUAACUUCGUG